rnacentral:lncRNA from 10 species
UCUGGGGCGAGGCGUGAGAACGAGCAUUUCUAAGUUCCCAGGGCUGGCGCAAGUCGUCUUGCGCCAGGCGACUGGGUCUGAGGAGGCAGGAGUUAUUCAUUCCCUUAAGCUUUCAGGCCGGGGGGAGAAUCUUUCAGGUCCAUCCACCUCAGCCUCCCCAAAUGCUGGGAUUACAGACAUGAACCACUGCACUAGGCACAGAUAAUUUUUAAGGCAAUCUGGGAUCCACAGGUGGUAGCUGCAAGAACUCUUAGUAUGUUGACCUCACCUCUGCCUUCCACAUACCACUACCAGUGAGGAAUUAGGAAUGCAUGAGAAGAGUGUCCAAGAAGAGUGUCCUCAUUCAUGCAAGGCUUAAGAGAGAAUGCAGGUCAACAUCACCAUGUCAAUCAGAGGAUACUUCUGUUGGGUUGAAUGACUCUCUGCCCCCAGGUUCUGUCUCAAGUCAGCUUCUCUGAGAAUCCAAUUUAUAAAAAUAUAUUUGUGAAUGUAUAAGUAAAGUGACUUGGAUUUUGUCUACGUACAAGGACUUCUAUGCCUGCAUAAAACAGGCUGACUGGUUGGAAGAGGCCCUUUUCCCAGCCUUUGUGGUAGUUUGGAACCAGCAGCAGCAGCAGCUCCCCAGACCUACUGAAUCAGAAUCUACAUUUUGAUAAGAGCCCAGGGUGACUCCAUCACAAUAUCACAGAAGCAGAGACUCAGAUGAAACACAGGAAGGAGUCAUGGGAAAAUUGGAUGGAAGAGCAUUCGUCGUACUGAGGGAACAGGAAGGGCAAAGCCCUGAGGCUGGGAGGCCAGUGUGGCUGCAGAGUAGAGCAACAGAGACAAGGUGAGCCGGAGAGGGAUGGGAGGAGAGGAUGUGCAGAUUGGGCACAAAGAGAUCUUCAUGUAAACAGAGUCCCUCUUAUUGGCUGAAGUGAAGAGUCAUUCUGAGGGAGAGUCGUUGAUUACAGUUUGGCAUAAAUCCUUCCAGAUUUUUAAGAUAGGAGGAUCUGAAAAUGUAGAGGUGAGACGCUAAUGGCAGAGUGGCCUCAGCUUUCACCAGGUUUUGAAAACAUCUGUGAGGGAGGCACCAAAUUCACUGUCCUGCAGCUUUGACUUCCCAAUCCUCGUUGCCUCGUGCUGCCAGCCUGUAUGCUGGUAGAAGUGUGUUCCUGGGAACAUCCUGGCAUCUUGUGUUAGGACUACACUGGUGCAUGGGACAGAUCACGCUCAAGAAGGUCGAUGUAAUUUGAAAAACAGAUGGGCUCUGCUUUGUGAAAACUCCAAGCAUAUGAAGUCUAACUUGAAUAAAAGGCAUCUCAAGAUGAAGGUUUCCUAUUUGUGAUUAUGAAAAAAAUGUCAAGAACAAGUCCCUUGGUGUUCUUAGACCAAAGUCAGAACAACAGACCUAGUUUAAAGGAUGCUACUGCCAGGGGGCUGAGUUGAGGUGGUACUGAAUUUAUGACAAGCAUUCAGCAUUUUCUGUGACAAAUAUCUGUUGGACAUCAAUUAUGUGCCAGACACUGUUCUAAGUUACAGCUCAGCUAAGACAGACACAAAGCCUUGAGCUGCAUCUGAGUGAGAGCCCGAGCACCUGCCAUAUGUUGAGUGCUUGCUAUCUGCCGGCACAGUGCAGAACACCUGUGAUGUUAAUCCUACAGAAAAUUGUAGAAGGCAGGUGCUAUCAUUAACUUUACUUCUUCCCAGGUGAGGAAACAAUUUCAGAGCAAGUUCACCUCACUGGUGUGACAAUGUACUUCAAUGGACUUUAUGGGGAACAAGAAGACAUCUUCUCACUAGGGCUACAAAGUGCAUAGAAUGCAUGUUGGAUGCUCUGUUACUGUGAAGGGAGAGUCACCCAGAUAAUAAAGCCAGCAUUGAGGUCAAGAGGAACAGCAUCGAUUGUUAAUAUGCUGUCUGCUUUCAACCCCCAAAGGAUUAUUUUCAGAAUGAAAUGAUCUGUGGUCUUUAAGGGGUGGGGAUGGGAGGAGCUGAAGAACUCUCGAUCCUUCGAAGAGGUCCCAGUGGACUUGAUUUCUCAGUGGAAACAGAGGGAUUUCCUUCUGCAGUGGGAAAGAGACACGAAGUGAUAAACCGAGCACCCUCUUUGAAGAUUUCCCAGUAUAUUUGUCCCUAGAGGAGUGCGCCUCCGGGAGAUUUAUUGUUGGAAGCUUUUAUCCUCAAGCGUAAUUUUUAGAAGUAUGUAUUUCCCUAGAAACAGAGUAGCUCCAUUUAAAAGUCACAGGUGCCCCCAAGCUCUGCUGGGAAGAUUACUUCAAGUUUCAUUUAAUACCCAUCUCAGACCUGGAGGCAAAUUAUUUAGUUCAUCACUCUGAAAAUGGAUUUUUUUUCCCUUCUACUUCCCAUUUCAGCACCUGCCAUCUUGUGGAAAGGGACUUGCUUCCCAAGAGAUGAGAAAUGGACAGGAGUGGAGCCUGAGUCCAAGUACUGUGAUUUCUUAUCUCCCACAAAUGUGCAGGAAUAUUUAGUCAGGGAGAUCAUCUUCCUGGAGAAAUUGGCCCAUCCUACUCCUAGAGUGCUGUGUUAGUUGUAGUUCCUCCAGGUGCCACCUCGAAGACCAGGGUCAGAGUACAGUCGCUUACAUGGGAGGUAAAUCCACAAAACAGUGGCGGAAGAGGGGGAAAAUGAGACAAGGAUGGGAAGGCAAUCAGGAAAGGGCAUGUUAUCAAGCAAGGCACUGUUCUGGGCAAUUGGAGCUUACACCUGCUAGGGAAGCCUGAGACAGUGGGGAACAUGUACCUCACAGUGAUGCUCGUGAGGGCCGGGGGAACUGGGAUAUUAAUCCACCAAUUCCAUCUGUUACUGAUUGAGGGCUGCUUACUGGCGGUAUUGAUUCCCUGGCACUUCAGGUCAGAGAAAGCCUUCGGUCAUAGAGAACAUGAAGCCAUGGGGCCCAGAGUGCCCAGGGCUGAGUGGAUGUGGGCGAUGGCCAAUGACAAUGGCUACCAACAGUGGAUUGGAUCUUUGGCAUCUCAUUUCUUCUAAGUCUCCUUAACCUCUGUGCUUGGUGCUGAGGUGAAGCAAACAAUUAAGAUCCAGUGUUGUCCUUAGGAUGCUCACACUUCAGUGAGGGAGUUGAGGAAGCUAAACAGGUAAGCAAUUUUGAGCCUGUGAAGUUAGUAGUCUACGAAGAUAUAUUUAAGAAUAUGUGCAUCGUUUGUGAUAUGCAUAUUAUUUGUCAGGCUGUACUCUAAGCAUUUACCUUGACUAACUUAUUUGAUGCCCACAAGAACCCUCUAAAGUGGGUGCAUUUGCUGUCUCUUUUAGAGAUAAGGAAGUGGAGGUAUGGAAACAUUAAAGUGUUCAGCUAGUCUGUAGUGAAGCCAGGAUUUGAAUACAGGCUAUCUACUUCCAGAGCCCUGUUCUUAUCCACUAGGCUAUGGGUCAGGCUUUCUCAACCUUUAUUAUUAUUGCCAUUCUGUGCUGAAUAAUUCUUUGUCAUAGGGGCUGUCCUGUGCAUUGUAGGAUGCUUGGCAGCAUACCCUCUACCACUAGAAGCCAAUAGUACCUGCCUCCCCACCUCCUGUUCUGACAACCAAAAAUGUCUCCAGACAUUGCCAAAUGCCCACUGGGGCACAAAUAGCACCAAUUGAGAACCACUGCUGCCUAUUAUAAGGCAAUCAGUUUUUCCUAGGGAAGUGUUAUAGAAGGCAGAUGGAAAUUUCUUUUCUUGUUGUUUAAUCUUCCUUCUCAUAAAAAUAAGGAGAAAAGUAGUAUUUCAGAGCUGAUCGCAUCUCUAAAUCAACAGCCAAAUAUCUCCCAGGGCAGAGAAAAUGGAAGUAGAAAUCAAGUUAUUGAAAAAUCAACUUAAGUUUGUGUGUGUGUGUGUGUGUGUGUGUGUGCACCUGCGUUGUAAACAGGGCAUCCUUGCCCACUGUGCUCUGCUGCCAGCCCUUCGAACAGGCUGUUUCCAUGGUCAUUUUUAAAAUGUUGUCUUGCAACAUGGUGAACUGAGGAAUUAGCAAAAAGACCGUUAAAGGAGAAUAGGCAGUGUGUUCACACGGGAUUGUUUGUCUUAUUAUUUUUCAUUUUCCUUGGGCGAUUUUAUUUGUAAUUUUUUCGGAGUUUUGUUUUGAACUCUCUUUAUCCAAGUAAAUACAUCCUUCUUCCUUCUGUCACAAGCUGGUGGAUUCCAAGCUUUAUUUUCCAAAUCCUCCCAACCCUAUUUUAUCCAUGUGGCUUCUUGGAGCUGGUCAAGUCUGCAAACUGAUCCUUGAGAUUUUGGGGUGUUCUGUGUGAGGACAGUAGCCCUAAUUUUGGCAUUAAAGCGUCCUUGUUUGUCUCCUUUCUUUCUUCUUCCAAGAUACUCUUUAAAAAUUCAGUCUUCUCCAAAUUUGGCUUUGUAGCUAAUCUAUGUGAUCAGAGAAGCAUCAUUUUAGUGUUGGAAGCCUGAAUAAUUCGCUUUUUCAGUUGGUCGUGGAAGUAAAAUUCCAGAUGUUUAAGCAUUCUUUGUAACAAAGCUUUUUCAUGUGCCUGUGGAUAAUUUACUAAGCAGUGCUUUGUGAAUCUGCUUGCUUCUCUAUGACAAAUGCUUUUGAUGAUCGCUGCUCAUGCUCAUGCUCAAAUACAUAGUCACUCUAAUGACUUAAAUUACUUUUGCAUGGUAUUUAUGGGAGGUGAAAAGCCACCAUGGUCAAGAUCGUUGACUCCGGGGUUAGAUGGGACUGGGUUUGAAUCCUGACUUCACUACUAUCAGCUGUGUGAGACUAAGCAAGUGUGACAGGCAGAGUAAUGGCUCCCUGAGGAUGCUAGUGUCUUAAUCCUUGAAACCUGUGAAUAUGUUGCCUUACCUGGCAAAAGGGACUUUGCAGAUACGAUUAUGUUAAGAACCUUGAGGUGGGAGAUUAUCCUGAAUCAUCUGAGUGGAACAAAUGUCAUCCCAAAAAGGAGGUCAGAAUCAGAGAGGUUAGAAACUGCUAGCAUGUUGACUUUGAAAAUAGAAGAAGAGAUGACAAGCCAAAGAAUAUAAGAAGCUUUUAAAUGCUGGAAAAAGUAAGAAAAUGGACUCUCCUCUAGACCUAGAGCCUCCAGAAGGAACACAGCCCUGCUGACACCUUGAUUUUAGCCCAAUGUGACCCAGUUUUGACUGUUGACCUCCAGAACUGUAAGAUUAUGAAUUUGUGUUGUUUUAAAGCCACAACAUGUGUGCUAAUUUGUUAUAGUGACAAUAGGAAAUUAAUACAGCAAAGUGAUGCAAUCUCUCCUAACCAUUGUUUGGUCAUGUACAAAGUGGAAUAAUAACAAUAUUUACCCCUUCAAGCUAUUGUAAGGUGUAGAAGAGAGAGGCACUUGGCACUGGGCCCAGCAUAAAGUACAUAUUUAAAGGUAUUGAAUUAGUCAUGGGUUUUUUAUUUUGCCAUACCUUAGCAGUUCCAUCAUCCUUCCUAUUAUUAAGUUUCAGAAAUACUUAUCUGUGAUGGCUAAUUUUAUGUGUCAAUUUGGCAAGGCUAUGAUGCCCAGUUAUUUGGUCAAACAGUGGUCUAGAUGUUACUGUGAAGAUAUUUGUGAAUGUGAUUAGCAUUCAAAGCAAUUGCCUUUAAGUAAAGCAGAUUGCUUUCUUCAUAAUAUGGGUGGUACCUAUUCUAUUCGUUGAAGGCUUGAAGAGCAAAGACUGAGGUUUCCAAACGAAGACACCAUUAUGUCUCAAGACUGGAACAUGGAAACCCUGCCUGAGUUUUCUACCUGCUGGCCUACCUGCAGAUUCAGACACUAGACUGCAACAUCAACUCGUACUUGAAUUUCCAGUCUGCCUGUCUGCCCUACAGAUUUUGGACUUGCCAGCCCCCACAAUUGCAUGAGCAAAU